rnacentral:rRNA from 1 species
CUUAACUGGGAGAGGCCGUUCAAUACUGCAGGGCUGGAGGGCAGGAGAGGGAGGUAGAAUUCCCGGUGUAGUGGUGAAAUGCGUAGAUAUCGGGAGGAAUACCAGUGGCGAAGGCGGCCUCCUGGCCUGCUCCUGACACUAAGACGCGAAAGCUAGGGGAGCGAACGGGAUUAGAAACCCCGGUAGUCCUAGCUGUAAACGAUGGAUGCUGGGUGUCGGUGGUAUUGACCCCAUCGGUGCCGAAGCCAACGCGUUAAGCAUCCCACCUGGGGACUACGGCCGCAAGGUUAAAACUCAAAGGAAUUGACGGGACCCUGCACAAGCAGCGGAGCGUGUGGUUUAAUUCGAUGCUACGCGAAGAACCUUACCCGGGUUUGACAUGCAGGUAGUAGUGAAGCGAAAGCGGAACGACCCUUCGGGGAGCCUGCACAGGUGCUGCAUGGCUGUCGUCAGCUCGUGCCGUGAGGUGUUAGGUUAAGUCCUGUAACGAGCGCAACCCCUAUCGUCAGUUACAUGUGUCUGGCGAGACUGCCGGCCGUAAGCCGGAGGAAGGCGGGGAUGAUGUCAAGUCAGCAUGGCCUUUAUAUCCGGGGCUACACACACGCUACAAUGGCCGGUACAAUGGGUCGCCAAGCCGCGAGGCGGAGCCAAUCCAUAAAGCCGGUCUCAGUUCGGAUUGCAGGCUGCAACCCGCCUGCAUGAAGUC